GUGGGGAAUUUUAGACAAUGGGCGCAAGCCUGAUCCAGCAAUGCCGCGUGCAGGAAGAAGGCCUUCGGGUUGUAAACUGCUUUUGUACGGAGCGAAAAGGUUCCCUCUAAUACAGGGGGCUCAUGACGGUACCGUAAGAAUAAGCACCGGCUAACUACGUGCCAGCAGCCGCGGUAAUACGUAGGGUGCAAGCGUUAAUCGGAACUACUGGGCGUAAAGCGUGCGCAGGCGGUUUUGUAAGACAGGCGUGAAAUCCCCGGGCUCAACCUGGGAACUGCGCUUUUGAAUGCUAAGCUAGAGUACGGCAGAGGGGGGUGGAAUUCCACGUGUAGCAGUGAAAUGCGUAUAGAUGUGGAGGAACACCGAUGGCGAAGGCAGCCCCCUGGGAUAACACUGACGCUCAUGCACGAAAGCGUGGGGAGCAAACAGGAUUAGAAACCCCAGUAGUCC
rnacentral:rRNA from 1 species